rnacentral:rRNA from 1 species
AUUGAACGCUGGCGGCAGGCCUAACACAUGCAAGUCGAGCGGGGUUUUCGGACCUAGCGGCGGACGGGUGAGUAAUGCGUAGGAAGCUACCCGAUAGAGGGGGAUACCAGUUGGAAACGACUGUUAAUACCGCAUAAUGUCUACGGACCAAAGUGUGGGACCUUCGGGCCACAUGCUAUCGGAUGUGCCUACGUGGGAUUAGCUAGUUGGUGAGGUAAUGGCUCACCAAGGCGAUGAUCCCUAGCUGGUUUGAGAGGAUGAUCAGCCACACUGGAACUGAGACACGGUCCAGACUCCUACGGGAGGCAGCAGUGGGGAAUAUUGGACAAUGGGCGCAAGCCUGAUCCAGCCAUGCCGCGUGUGUGAAGAAGGCCUUCGGGUUGUAAAGCACUUUCAGUAAGGAGGAAGCGUUGAGUGUUAAUAGUACUCAGCGUUGCCGUUACUUACAGAAGAAGCACCGGCUAACUCUGUGCCAGCCGCCGCGGUAACAC